rnacentral:rRNA from 1 species
UACCAGCACCCCGAGUGUUCGGGACGAUUAUUGGGCCUAAAGCAUCCGUAGCCGGUUUUACAAGUCCUCCGUUAAAUCCAGCUGCUUAACAGGUGGGCUGCGGAGGAUACUAUAAGACUAGGAGGCAGGAGAGGCAAGCGGUACUCAGUGGGUAGGGGUAAAAUCCGUUGAUCCAUUGAAGACCACCAGUGGCGAAGGCGGCUUGCCAGAAUGCGCUCGACGGUGAGGGAUGAAAGCUGGGGGAGCAAACCGG